AACGCACAUUGCGCCCUGUGGUAUUCCGCAGGGCAUGCCUGUUCGAGCGUCAUUAUAACCACUCAAGCCUGGCUUGGUAUUGGGACCUGCUGUCACCGGCAGCCCCUAAAACUAGUGGCGGUGCCCGUAGGCUCUGAGCGUAGUAAUACUCCUCGCUAUAGAGCCCUGCGGGUGUCCUGCCAGAACCCCCUAUUUUUUACAGGUUGACCUCGGAUCAGGUAGGGAUACCCGCUGAACUUAA
rnacentral:misc_RNA from 1 species